rnacentral:precursor_RNA from 11 species
UCUAGGAUGGUGGAUAAGCGUUCUAUGAUGCACAUAAUUUCGAAUGACUGGAUUGUAAUUUUCCCAUUCGUUCGAAAUUGUGACCAUCAUAUUGCGGUUUUUCACUAUCAUCUACG